GAAUUCCAGGUGUAGCGGUGAAAUGCGUAGAGAUCUGGAGGAAUACCGGUGGCGAAGGCGGCCCCCUGGACAAAGACUGACGCUCAGGUGCGAAAGCGUGGGGAGCAAACAGGAUUAGAUACCCUGGUAGUCCACGCCGUAAACGAUGUCUACUUGGAGGUUGUGCCCUUGAGGCGUGGCUUCCGGAGCUAACGCGUUAAGUAGACCGCCUGGGGAGUACGGCCGCAAGGUUAAAACUCAAAUGAAUUGACGGGGGCCCGCACAAGCGGUGGAGCAUGUGGUUUAAUUCGAUGCAACGCGAAGAACCUUACCUGGUCUUGACAUCCACGGAAGUUUUCAGAGAUGAGAAUGUGCCUUCGGGAACCGUGAGACAGGUGCUGCAUGGCUGUCGUCAGCUCGUGUUGUGAAAUGUUGGGUUAAGUCCCGCAACGAGCGCAACCCUUAUCCUUUGUUGCCAGCGGUCCGGCCGGGAACUCAAAGGAGACUGCCAGUGAUAAACUGGAGGAAGGUGGGGAUGACGUCAAGUCAUCAUGGCCCUUACGACCAGGGCUACACACGUGCUACAAUGGCGCAUACAAAGAGAAGCGACCUCGCGAGAGCAAGCGGACCUCAUAAAGUGCGUCGUAGUCCGGAUUGGAGUCUGCAACUCGACUCCAUGAAGUCGGAAUCGCUAGUAAUCGUGGAUCAGAAUGCCACGGUGAAUACGUUCCCGGGCCUUGUACACACCGCCCGUCACACCAUGGGAGUGGGUUGCAAAAGAAGUAGGUAGCUUAACCUUCGGGAGGGCGCUUACCACUUUGUGAUUCAUGACUGGGGUGAAGUCGUAACAAGGUAACCGUAGGGGAACCUGCGGUUGGAUCACCUCCUUACCUUAAAGAAGC
rnacentral:rRNA from 2 species